rnacentral:ncRNA from 1 species
GUCUAAAUACAUGCCCUAUUAAGGAGAAACUGCGAAUGGCUCAUUAAAUCAGUUAUGAUUCCUUGGAUCGUACCUUACUUCUUGGAUAAUUGUGGCAAUUCUAGAGCUAAUACAUGCAACAGAGCUCCGACCCUCUGGGAAUAAGCGCUUUUAUUAGACCAAAACCAAUCGGACCUCGUGUCCUUAUUAUGUGGAACUUCGACGGCAAACGAUAUGCAUGCUAUUUCUCCCCCCGUUAUGCCUAUAAUUGCUGAUUACAUUAGUUUUACUGCCAUUACAUCACCGACAUCAUUUAGCGGAG